CCCAAAGGAAAACUGCAUAAGCCUAUACAUGGCAGGAGAGAAUGCAUGUGGCAGACCCAGAGGGUGCUCUGUCUCUGAUAAUCGAGACUCAAGGCCUGCGAAGUGAAAGGCUAUCCUUCCGUAACCUGUUGUGCCUGCCCAGGCAGCCAGUUAGAAAAAAAAGUGCAGAAGGAAGAGCAGCUUUAGGGCUAUCUGAGCAUCCUAACGUUCAGUUCGCCCUUUUACCCAGAGGUCAGUGCUGCUAGAAUUCAGCCCAUUUAUCUGUACGGAGUUCCCUGGCUAUGGUUUCCCUGCAUUUAUAACACCACCAAUAGGGCAUCGCAGUUCAGUGCGAAGAGCUGACUUCCAGGUAAGACUCCACUUCCCUCCCUCCUCAUCAGACUUCUCACCAAUUCCUUUGCUUCUAAAACCAGAGAUCAUCCUUUGAAUACUUAGAUGUGUUUAUCUCCAAUUCUUCUGGCCUGUCACUCUGCCACUUUGAUUGGUGACUGCCUCACUUGACCCAUUAUGUUAGAAAUAAUAUCCCCAGACUUCACCCCCUUCCCUAACUUAUCUUCUCACCAACUGCUUUGUCCUUCCCUUUUUCCUUCCUAGGGCCAUGAUCGAAUCAAUUCAGCCAUUGCUUCUGGAAAGGGUGUCCCUCGUUGCCUCAUUUCCCAUGACCAUUCCUAUGACUUUCCCCCAAAGGACCUCCCUCUCUGAUCACCACUCCCCUAUGUGCAUUCCCAACUCAGAGUCUGAGGCUCUAUUCACUACAUCAAGCCAUUGAGGGGGAGGAUGAGGAUUUCGUUGAACAAACUUGGGAACUCACAUUGCAAAUCUGCUCCCAACAGUAGGCAGAAAUAGGUGGCUGAGGCUAUGCCUCCAACUUGCUAGGGCUAUAACUCUGGGGAGGCAUCACAGUGCUCUUCAGUGGUUUCAGUCUCCAUCCCAAUAGCAACUCUAUCUUUUUCAUCUAAUUAAGGAGAUGCUUAGCGUUGUACCAGGAAGCUCCAAGGGGCAGCUUCCUCAUCUAGGAAAAGAGUAAAAUAAUGUGUUCAUGGUUUUAUUGGGUUGUGAGCCCUAAAGAUAUGGGUCUGUUUACUGACCAGGGCUUGGAAAUAAAGGAAUGAUGGACUCCUGGACA
rnacentral:lncRNA from 1 species